rnacentral:tRNA from 1 species
AGGGUUGUGGCUCAGUGGUAGAGCACUUGCCCAGCAUGUGUGAGGCCCUGAGUUCAAUUCUCAGCACCACAU